rnacentral:lncRNA from 1 species
CUGAUCCGACGCCGCACCACCACCCCUUCCGAACCAAUUUCAAUCCAUCCCCCCAUAUCUGUUAGUUCGAUCUCGAAAAUCUGCUAUUCAAUCCACCCCUUCACCAUCGUCAUCAUCAUCCUCAUCAUCCUCGAAUCUGAACAUCGGCGGCGGCGGCGACGAAAACUGGAGGCGUAAGCUCCGCCGUCGGCUCUUGAAAUCUCUCAGAUCCACCUCCGUCGAAAACCUCGGAGAACCGAAAAAGAGAAAGUACCACUUAGUUUUCCCCGAAGACUACGAGGAUGUGAACAAGGACAAAUUGAGCUGCUUGUUGGUGUUGUACGUUUUCUUCGGCGGCGGCGACUGCAUUAGGGUUGUACCUCUGGCUCCAUUACUUGUACUCGAAUUCUUCCACAUCUCGAUUCGAUUUUGCUUGCUCUCAAUUAUUAACAAAUCUGGUGAAUUGCUGUUGUUGUUGGCCUUUUGGAUCAUCGGUUGAUUAUUGCUGUUGUUAUUAUUAUGAGGUUGUUUGUAGGGGAUGAGUUUGCCGCAGAAGAUGAUGUUCUCCGGCGGAAAAUCGGCGGCGGCGGCGGAAGGGGUGAACUCUUGGCUGAGCUUGGUUGGGGAUGAUGGUGACGGGAAGAAGAAACUUAUUCUUCUUUUUUUAUUUUUUUAUUUUUAAGAUUUAUUUAUAUUUAUUAAAAAGAAAAGGAAGAAAAUUUAGUAUAAAAGGAAAUGACCAAUUUACCCCAGCUAAAGUCACGUGUGAGGCACGUGAUUUAACUUCCGGUCAAUUUUGGCCAAAAAUGGACAUUUUGGACAUCGGUGCUAAGAAAAUCGGAGUUCAG